rnacentral:misc_RNA from 1 species
GAUGAAGAACGCAGCGAAAUGCGAUAAGUAGUGUGAAUUGCAGAAUUCAGUGAAUCAUCGAAUCUUUGAACGCACAUUGCGCCCUUUGGUAUUCCAAAGGGCAUGCCUGUUCGAGCGUCAUUUGUACCCUCAAGCUUUGCUUGGUGUUGGGCGUCUUGUCUUUAGCUUUGCUGGAGACUCGCCUUAAAGUAAUUGGCAGCCGGCCUACUGGUUUCGGAGCGCAGCACAAGUCGCACUCUCUAUCAGCAAAGGUCUAGCAUCCAUUAAGCCUUUUUUUCAACUUUUGACCUCGGAUCAGGUAGGGAUACCCGCUGAACUUAAGCAUAUCAAUAAGCGGAGGA